rnacentral:rRNA from 1 species
AAUGCCUAGGAAUCUGCCUGGUAGUGGGGGAUAACGUUCGGAAACGGACGCUAAUACCGCAUACGUCCUACGGGAGAAAGCAGGGGACCUUCGGGCCUUGCGCUAUCAGAUGAGCCUAGGUCGGAUUAGCUAGUUGGUGAGGUAAUGGCUCACCAAGGCGACGAUCCGUAACUGGUCUGAGAGGAUGAUCAGUCACACUGGAACUGAGACACGGUCCAGACUCCUACGGGAGGCAGCAGUGGGGAAUAUUGGACAAUGGGCGAAAGCCUGAUCCAGCCAUGCCGCGUGUGUGAAGAAGGUCUUCGGAUUGUAAAGCACUUUAAGUUGGGAGGAAGGGUUGUAGAUUAAUACUCUGCAAUUUUGACGUUACCGACAGAAUAAGCACCGGCUAACUCUGUGCCAGCAGCCGCGGUAAUACAGAGGGUGCAAGCGUUAAUCGGAAUUACUGGGCGUAAAGCGCGCGUGGGUGGUUUGUUAAGUUGGAUGUGAAAUCCCCGGGCUCAACCUGGGAACUGCAUUCAAAACUGACUGACUAGAGUAUGGUAGAGGGUGGUGGAAUUUCCUGUGUAGCGGUGAAAUGCGUAGAUAUAGGAAGG